UACGUAGGGUGCAAGCGUUAAUCGGAAUUACUGGGCGUAAAGCGUGCGCAGGCGGUUAUGCAAGACAGAUGUGAAAUCCCCGGGCUCAACCUGGGAACUGCAUUUGUGACUGCAUGACUAGAGUACGGCAGAGGGAGAUGGAAUUCCGCGUGUAGCAGUGAAAUGCGUAGAUAUGCGGAGGAACACCGAUGGCGAAGGCAAUCUCCUGGGCCUGUACUGACGCUCAUGCACGAAAGCGUGGGGAGCAAACAGG
rnacentral:rRNA from 1 species